rnacentral:misc_RNA from 1 species
GCAAACUUGGUCAUUUAGAGGAAGUAAAAGUCGUAACAAGGUUUCCGUAGGUGAACCUGCGGAAGGAUCAUUAUUGAACUGAAACUUUUGGCUGGAUGCUGUUGUGGCUGGCCUUUUGGGGCAAUGUGCACACCUCUGGUCAUUUGCUUUUUCCUGUCCCACCUGUGCACUCCCUGUAGACACACACACCCACUGUGUCUAUGAAAUGUUUUACACAUACACACAUACAUUAUAUGGGGCAUAGUAUUGCAUGUAUAACGAAAUGUACAACUUUCAGCAAUGGAUCUCUUGGCUCUCGCAUCGAUGAAGAACGCAGC